rnacentral:misc_RNA from 1 species
GUAGGUGAACCUGCGGAAGGAUCAUUAACACUAACUCAAAUAAUAAUUAAAAGCGUUAUUCGUUACGGUACACCCCGUGGCCUGUGUUAUUGCUGAUUGCUGGACGUGGAACACGGAAGGCAGGGCUACACCUGAGGCUAGAGUAACGCCUAUAUUGAACGUUUAUUAGAGGGUAUCGAUAUAUGAUUGUCAGGGGGGCUUGGCGUAUUAAUUUCGAUUGGUACGACCGAACCGGUGGGCUAUUGCGCCCCCCUCCUGAUUAAGAUUGGUACUCCUCGUGGGUUCCACAACGAAUGUAACUCAUCGAGUGUAUUUACGCUCAUUCUCUGGGUGUUUAUCUCAACUAUUUAAUUUUAGUUGAGUGAAAGAUGUCCCUUUUCGGAUGUCUUUUAACUAGAAAUAAACUCUGUACAACUCUUAGCAAUGGAUGUCUUGGUUUCC